CCUACGGGGGGCUGCAGUGGGGAAUAUUGGACAAUGGGGGGAACCCUGAUCCAGCCAUGCCGCGUGUGUGAAGAAGGCCCUCGGGUUGUAAAGCACUUUCAGUGAGGAAGAACGCCUGGUGGUUAAUACCCAUCAGGAAAGACAUCACUCACAGAAGAAGCACCGGCUAACUCCGUGCCAGCAGCCGCGGUAAUACGGAGGGUGCGAGCGUUAAUCGGAAUUACUGGGCGUAAAGCGCGCGUAGGUGGCUUGAUAAGCCGGUUGUGAAAGCCCCGGGCUCAACCUGGGAACGGCAUCCGGAACUGUCAAGCUAGAGUGCAGGAGAGGAAGGUAGAAUUCCCGGUGUAGCGGUGAAAUGCGUAGAGAUCGGGAGGAAUACCAGUGGCGAAGGCGGCAUUCUGGACUGACACUGACACUGAGGUGCGAAAGCGUGGGUAGCAAACAGGAUUAGAUACCCCUGUAGUC
rnacentral:rRNA from 1 species